rnacentral:ncRNA from 1 species
GAGCUGGGUUCAGAACGUCGUGAGACAGUUCGGUCCCUAUCCGUCGCGGGCGCAGGAAAUUUGAGAGGAGCCUUUCCUAGUACGAGAGGACCGGAAAGGACGGACCGAUGGUGAACCAGUUGCAGUGCCAACUGCACGGCUGGGAAGCCAAGUCCGGGAGUGAUAAACGCUGAAAGCAUCUAAGCGUGAAGCACGCCUCAAGAUAAGAUUUCCCAUACCGUAAAGGUAGUAAGACCCCUCGAAGAAGACGAGGUAGAUAGGCUUAAGGUGUAAGAGCAGAAAUGCUUUAAGCUGGUAAGUACUAAUAGGUCGAGGCCUUGACCUU